UACGUAGGCACCAAGCGUUGUCCGGAUUUAUUGGGCGUAAAGAGCUCGUCGGCGGUUCGGUAAGUCGGGUGUGAAAACUCUGGGCUCAACCCAGAGCCGCCACCCGAUACUGCUGUGACUCGAGUGCGGUAGGGGAGCGGGGAAUUCCUGGUGUAGCGGUGAAAUGCGCAGAUAUCAGGAGGAACACCAGUGGCGAAGGCGCCGCUCUGGGCCGUGACUGACGCUGAGGAGCGAAAGCGUGGGUAGCAAACAGG
rnacentral:rRNA from 1 species